UUCUUUGGUUAUCUAGCUGUAUGAGUGAUGAGUUCGCCCAAAGUGUCAUAAAGCUAGGUUACCAAAGUU
rnacentral:pre_miRNA from 1 species